AUGGUACCAAUCAGCUUAGGCUAAGUCCCCAAAACUUCAGUGGCUUACAACAGAGGCUUCUAUUUUGUUCCCUUCAGAUGUCCAUUGUGGGUCAGCUACCACGCCUGAUGCUAUCUUCACUCCAGACCCAUUCCAGUGUCCUCACAAAGGGGAGAAAAGAGACACAGAGGACCACAAGCUGGCCCUGAAGUCUCUGCUUAGAAGUGAUGCUGUCAUGUCUUCCUACGUUUUACUGGCCAAAGCAAGUCACAUGGCCACUCCAGAGCUCAAAGGGAUAGGACAACAGCCAGGACUGACAAGAUUUUUUAUUAGAGAAGUAGGAUGUUCCCAGCCUGGUCAACAUAGCAAGAACCCACCUCAAGAAAAAAUGCAAGGUGUUUACAGGACAGGUUGGAGAAGCUACACUGACCAGCCUGCAAAGGAUGUGUGCCCCAAACUUCAGUGCCACGAGACCUUCAAGACCAUCCCCUGAUCUCGUUAUUAGGCAGUGCUUCCCUCCGUCCUAUGAGCAUCCUGAACUCUCCUGAGGAAACAAUAACUGAGCCAGCCUGGGGGCCAGGGUUCCUCUAGGCCUGGUCCCCACCCUUAGAGUUCAGCCAGGGUCUCUUUCAGCUCCACUGUGGGAAGAAAUUUAAACCCACCAGCAACACUGAUCAUCACUGAAGAAACUGCACUUUACUUCAUUUGAUUCAGUGCUUCUCUUUCAGCCUUGGGCUGAUGGGAGUCAGGCCCACACACCCCCACAGAGAGUGCUCUUAUUGUCAGAGGGACAGGAGGCCCUGCUGCAGGGGCCUUUCCUUCCCUGCCUCCCAGCUGCGGAAGAGGCUUGCAUUGUACACUUUGCCAGCUGAGGGAAAGUGAGGGCAGACGGGUCAUUCCCAGGAACGAGCCAGUCCUUACGGCAGUCCAGCAGUCUUGGGGCUGGAGGGCAGAUUUCCACAGCGCACACAGAGGGAAACUGAGAGCACAGGGGCUAAGCUGUGGUCACACAGGGAGUCAGGGUGAAGCCACGGCCAGAGGCCAGGUCUGGGCUUUCCCUGGCACAAGGCAGCCGGGCAGGAUUUGUACUUCUCAGAAAUGGAACUGGCCGUGCAGGAAGUUGCCACGAAGGUAGACACCAGAAGGUGAGCAGAGUGAAACAGGCCCAAGGCUAGGCGAGCUUGGGUGGGUCUGAGCAAACAGGUCCAAGGAGCACCAGGAAUCAUAAAAGUAACUGACAUAGCUCACCAGCUCACUUUCUAGAACAGUUUAAGGAGUGCUUUUCACCAUGUUGUCUCCCGGCCCAAAGCAAAAUGCCUCACACAGAGAGCAAAUGCCAAGUCUAAGGCUGAGUUUCAUUCCAGAGCCCAGCCUCAGGGCAUUAGGCUGAUGGUGGAGAGGGUAGGGAAGGAAGCCUCACAGGGGGAAGCACACUAACACUCUGUCCCCUGGCUCCACCCACUCUUCCAUUAUUCCAAAAUGAAGUUCACUCUAUUGUUUUUUCCUUGGAAAAGUUACAUGCGUACGCUCCCCCAAGUACUUGGAAAUAUAAA